CUUGAUUUUGAUACUUAAAAAUACUUAAAAGAAAGCUGCAAAAACAUUUGAGUUUUAUUUGAACUCUGGUCAUAGAAAUCUUGCUUAUAUUAUCUUUAAUACUUUUCAAAAUAACUCUCAAGAUCAGAUCAAUCUAUAAAAUUCUAGGUUAAGACUAAACUUGUUUAAAUACUUAGAGCUCAUGAUGGUUAACUAAAUAGAUGUAGGGGGCAGUGUAGACAGACCUCUAUCUCUAGGAAUAUAAGACUUGGGCAAAGGACAAUGUGAUUUGAAUUGCGUCGGUGUGUGGUUUCUUUGUAACAGCAAAUUUCAGUGAAGUGUCCUUUCCUCUCAGAGACUCAGUUAAAUAUGACGUUAAUGUUUCCCCAUAUAGAAACACCAACUCUUUUUUUUUUUUUUAAGAUUUUAUUUAUUUAUUUGACAGAUCACAAGUAGGCAGAGAGGCAGGCAGAGAGGCAAGGGGAGAGAGAGGAGAGAGCAAGCUCCCCGCAGAGCAGAGAGCCCGAUGUGGGGCUCGAUCCCAGGACCCUAAGAUCAUGACCCGAGCUGAAGGCAGAGGCUUAACCCACUGAGCCACCCAGGCACCCCUAGAAACAACAACUCUUGAUCUGCUAGCUAGAAAAGGGGAAACUGAGUGUGCCCAUUUAUUUUAUUUUUAAAAAAAAUAUAUUUUUAUUUAUUUGUUUGACAGACAGAGAUCACAAGUAGGCAGAGAGGCAGGCAGAGAGAGAAGGAGGGGAAGCAGGCUCCCUGCUGAGCAGAGAGCCCUUUGCAGGGCUUGAUCCCAGGACCCUGGGAUCAUGACCCCAGCCAAAGGCAGAGGCUUUUAACCCACUGAGCCACCCAGGUGCCUCAAGUGUGCCCAUUUAUGAAAAGCCCCUACUAAAUCCUUUUUACUUAAACUCUACAGGUAUCCCGAUGUGAGUGAAAACUGACAGAUUACAAUGCAGGAAUCCCCGUGUUGGCAAGAAGCUGCCGCCAGCUCAAAUAUCUAGACCUCAGCUCUACAGGAAUAAGCAGAAGAGGUCCCCCAAUUUUAGAUGGAGACCUGGUAACUAGCCUAACAGAAGAGUCUGAAAUGGACAGAAGAAUUAAUGCUUACAGAGGGCACAAAUACUGAACAUGGAUUCUGUUAAAGCAGAAUUACUAUUUUUAGGAAGCCCAACUAGAAGAGUUUAUUCAUUGGCUAAUUAUUGUCACAUUAGUUUGGAACAUGUGAAACUCAGUUUCUGCAAGAAUGUCACCCUGGACGUGGUUCAAAAACUUUGCGAAAACUGUAGAUGGUUGAAGAUUCUCCAUCUAUAUGGCUGCAUUGUAACUUCUGACAUGUGCAAAAUAAAAGAGACUUUCAAAAGAGACCAAGUAUUAUAUGAUGCUAAUGUUUUCAGGAAAAUAGAAUUUCUAGUAAUAAAGACAUUAACAAUAUACUAAGUUAAAUAUGCCCAGAAAUAUUCCCAAUUAAAGCAAGAUAUAUAUUAUUUUUGACUUAAGAGGUAGACAAUCAAGGAAUAAUUGCAUGGUACUAUGUUGAGAUCUUAUAAAAAAUAAUCCAUUUUUGUAUGUCAAACAUCUCUACCCCCCCAUAAUAAAAUAAA